rnacentral:misc_RNA from 1 species
AAGACUAUAGACCUGCGGAGUACCUGCGGAGGGAUCAUUAAUGAGAAACUGCCCCUCGCGGGUAGAUCUCCCACCCUUUGUAAACUUACCUUUGUUGCUUUGGCAGGCCCGUCUCCGGACCGCCGGCUUCGGCUGGCCAGUGCCUGCCAGAGGAUUCUAAAACUCUGUCUGUCAGUGUUGUCUGAGUCUAUAUACAAUCGUUAAAACUUUCAACAAUGGAUCUCUAGAUCGGAAGAGCAC